GGGAGAGCUAAAGCAGGCCAGGGUGGAGGAGGGAAGGGCAGAGGGUCAGAGGAUCAGGGAGCAGCUCUGCUUUCACCUGUGCCAGGUGGCCUUCUGGCUCUGUGCAGGGUACCCAGCCAUCCUAGACAUUCAGGCCAGGCUCAGCCCCCAGGCCAGGCUCAGCCCCUAGUCUAGACACCUCUCUGAACUUGAACACCAGGAAACAGGAUACCAGGUCUUUGGAGGUCUAGAGCAGGGGUCAGUAAACUGUUUUUGUAAAGGACAAGACAGAACAUAGUUUACGCUUUGCAGGCCAUGUGGUCUCUGCUGUUGCAGUGGGAAAGCAGCCAUAGACAAUAUGUAACAAAUGAACAUGGCUUUGUUCCAAUAAAACUUUAUUUACAAAAGCAGACAGCAGGCUGGAUUUGGCCCAUGAGCUGUAGUUUGACAACCCUUGGUCUAGAACAUUCUUUGCCAAGACCAGCCACAGAGCCACUGGAGAGAUCUUCCAGAAGCCACAUUGCCCGCACAGAAUACAGCCAGCUGGGGCGUUUGUCCAGCAGCAGGUGUGAGGGUUUACUGCCUCUGCCUCGAGGAAGCAUCACCUCCCACUCUCACCCAGAAGCUGGCCCUGGCCUGGAAGCCGGAACUCCAGAACUGCAGCUCUUUUCAGGUCAGCUCAGCUUCUGGUCUGCAGCUGAAGAGACUAAAACUUGCCCACCCCAGGCAAGGGCUAGGAAGCCACCAAAGCCCAAGAGCUCUUGGCAAAGAAGCUGCAUUUCCUCAGAGGAACCAGAGACACCUGGUCUACCCAUCGACUUCCCCUCAUGCCCUUAUGGUCUCAUAAGGCUACCCUUAAGGAGUAGCCUGAGUAACCAAGAAGUCAGAGUCCCCCAGGGAUCUUCCAGAGCCAAGAGUCUGCCUGCCAGGGAAUGGGAAGCCCGGCCCCAUCCAGCAACUGCCACCCUGAGGGCCUGGGCCUGGCACUGCUCAGGAGUCCCACUCAUGGAGAGGGGUGGCAGCAGGAGCAGGCCAGGCAGGUAGGUCCCUGGGCAGAUGGAUGGGGGUGGCUGGGAACAGGAACAGGAACCUGACUUGGCCACUAAUGUCACCCUAGGGUGCUGUGCCUUCUCUCCAGUGUUUGUCUGAAGAGACUUCCAAAAGAGGUACCAAAGGAAGCCGAACCCAUCUCCUGGCCUCAGAGGGUCAGAGGUUGGGAGGGACACACUGGUCUGAGGAUGGAGGCAAGAGCGUGCUCUCCCGGCCCCCCCUCUGGUGAGACCCCUCCUCACUGGCACCCCACCUGCGGGAAGCAGAGCGAACACUAUCACACCCCAGCGGUCCCGGGCCAGCUGCCCAGCCCAGUGCCCUGCCCUUCCUUUCCCAGGGCUGACAGCCUUUCUGGGCUCGAGUUCCUCAUCCAUGAAGUGGGGGUUAUGUUAUCGACCUCAGAGGGCUGUGAAAAUGGGACGGUGUCUGUGAACUCCCUCACAUAUUGCCCAGCCCUUAGCAGAGCUCCUCGAAAUGUCAGUUCUUUGCUGCCCAGAGCCAGGCUCCUGGUAAUGACCAGGGAGAGAGCCUGCUUUUGACCAAGGAGUGAAAAACUGACCUAGAAAUGUCAGUUCCUUGCUGCCCGCUCCAGCCUCCACCCCUUUCUCACCAUCAUUCCCUGAGCACGCAGCAGCGUUCACAUGGACUCAUCGAGGCGCCUGCCAUUGGGCAUCCCUCUCCUCCUUGCGUCUAUUUCCUUAUGUGUAAAGUGGGGACAGGACCACCGCUGAGGACCCAGUUCUCUGAGCACUGGGGAUGAGGUGGGCUUCUGGCCCAGCCAGCCCUCUCCCUGCCAGUGAUGCCAGAGACCCCAGAGACAGUGCUCUGUUCCACUGUUCAGCUACAAACAGCCAAUCCCUCCCUUCACCCUAAGUGUCCCAGCCCCGCUCCCCAAACACCCAAGGACUCCUGCACAAAGAACUGUGGUCCAAACCCCCAAGCCAGCUGGGACCAGGUGAUUUCGGUAGCCCUGCAUCCUGGCCUCCAUCCAUCCCAGCCUGUCUCAGCUUUUGCAUCACCAUCCCAGACAGGCACCCACCUUCUGUCCCUGGCCCUGCUUCUGCCCCCCACUCCACCUGCCCUCAUGCCUGCCUUCCCCUCCUGCACCCCUGCUGGGCUCCUGAGGAACCAGAUGGAAAGAGUGUGUGCCCCCUACCCCCCAGCUUCCAGUCUCAGGAGGAUCAGAACAGACAGUACAGGUCAAAGCAGCAAGGCUAAGGGUGGCAGGUACACAACACUGCAGCCCCCAGAUCUAGAGAUAAGAUUUGGAUUUUGGUCAGAGGGAGGAUGAAGCACACACCACCCCCACUCCCACCCAGCACCACCAUCCUUCCCCUUCCUCCUCCUGGGUCAGGGUCUGAAGGUGGAGAAUCCCCAGAAACCCUUUAGAGUCCUCUGAUGAAGCCUCCCCAGACCCACCUUCGAGCCAGUGGGGAGGGGAGAGGAGGAUGACUACGGGGCAGCCCACCCAGGGGCAUCUCAAGACACUCCCAGGACAGCAUGGACAGGCCUGGACCCUCCUGCCCUGUGGCUCCUGCCAGGGCCCCUCCCCUGAGCUGAGGUGAAAGUGGGCAGUGGAGAAAGAAAGUCCGGGGCAAAUGGGCAGGUGGCACCCCCUACCAGCAGAAGCCCAGAAACGUGAGUAGAACCAGGGGACCCUGCAGGGCUGCUGUGCCCCUUCUCUCUUCCCAAAUAGGAGUGAGCACAUCAGGACCUCUGAGAGGGCAGGAGGGUGGCUCCUCUCCACUCCACGGACAAACAGAGUGGCCCGGCUACAUAAAUGCGCGCCAUCCUCACUGCUACCUUUGGAAUAGUACCUUGAAAGGAAACUACGCUUUGGAGAAGACCAAGGGUCCCAGGCCUGCCCUGUCCAUCACUCCGAAGCUCCUCCUUGGCAGUACCCGCCCCCACCCCUCUGCUACAGUGCGGGUGACCUCCCACUGUCAGACAGUGGAAGGGGCUGCUUGUCGGAAGGACAGGCCUCCCAUCUCCACACUCUGCUGCCCCAGACUGUGGAAUACAAGAGUUCUGUGGCCCUUCACAUUGUCGCAGGGCUAUCGCUGCUGCUCAGGCCCUGGGGACCCGCCAGAGUGGGACACCGUGCUCUAACAUAGGUGCAUUCACCCACUCCUCACAUCCUUGGAGGUUCUAGAGGGGCGACAGACAGCAGAGCCUUGGCCUAACCAGCCAGCGCCUGCAGCCUUACGCACACCCUGUGGAUGCGGCUGACUGAGAUGGGGAGCCUCCCUCUCACCCCGGUGGUUUCCACCAUCAAUUCCUCUGCACCAGCCAAGUCAUCCCAGGCAUUACAAUGAGCCCAGGGCUGCCCGGUCUGAGAGAGAUCCAGGACACUAGCGAUCCAGCCCACUCUGCCUGGAGCUUGGGCCCCCACGCAGACUGAGAGAUGAGGAAACUGAGGCCCCGAGUGCAUCUUCCUCAAGGCCACAUGGUGAAUGGUGAGUGGCAGAUCCUGCGCACCUCUGCCGACUCUCGUGGGUGCAGGAGAGGUGGUCAGACCCACCCUUUCAAUUGUACCACACUGCCCAGAUUGAGAAGAGCUUUCAGUUCAGUAACAGUCCCUACCAGCCUGGAGAACAGACCAGCCUCUGUCCCUCCACGGAGAUGACCCACUCCCAUCUUGCUUGUACCUGGCUUCAGGGAUCCUGGGGAGAGACAGGAGGUUAAAAAAGGGACAUAUCAAAACUCCCUCCUCUUGGAACCCGCCCAGCUUCCAUCACCCUCCUGACUCAGCCUGCAUGCUCAGCAGAUUACAAACGCCCCAUCAGGGAGCACUGCCUGGGCCUGUGGCCUGUGGCCUGGUGAGCUGGGGGGCACUCGGGUCAGAGGUGAAGCGAGCCUCAGUCUGGCGGGCGGGGCCAGGUGGGCAGAGACUGCUGUUCCUGGGGAGGUAAGCAUGGGUGUCUGGGGGGAUGGCGUGGGAAAGGCUUUUUCAGUAACCAGCCUCUAUCCAGCACAGUGCCCCGGUAAGUGUUUACUGAAUUAAUGCUGUUGCUGGAGAGACAGGAAAAAUGGGAGAAUCAAGGAACUGCAGUUCCCAGUAGGGCCAUGGCUUGAAGGAAGGGGAGAUGGAGGCCCUUCGCCUCUCCCCUCAUCCUCAACAGCUCCACCCAGAGAGGGAGUGCAAACAAGGGGCCCAACAGCUGAGUCUGGUUUUUUAUUGAAUGCAAACUCAUUCAUAGAAAACGGAAAUGCAACCAUAGAAUGGAAACGCUCUGAGAAAAGAUCCAGACCCACCUCAUCUCCCAGCCCACGCAGAGCUAUAAAAACAAGUUUGGGAGAAUAAAACACAUUCCCAUCCCCAAGGCAGAGGCCCCACCUGAGCUCCCCCAUCCUUGGCAUCUGGAGCGGACCAGGUGGGGGGACGAAGGGGCUCCAAGGACCAGGGUGGCCAGGGCGCCCAGAGCUGGGGCAACUCAGUGUAAACUCCAAGGUUUCGUAGGCAUGUGUGUGCGUGACUAACAGAACUUGGCUGAAGACUGGACGGAAACUCAGAAGCCAGCCCUGGGUCCUAGAACGAGGCUAGGACUGGGCACGUACAGGGAAACAGCGCAUCCCUUCCUGAGGCCCCUUUCUAAGGCAGGCACUGGGGCGCCCGCGGCUGUGGAGGCGGCACGAGCUGAACUCUUUGUACCGUCCCUCCUUUGCCCCUGGACAUUCCUGGGCAGCGUCAAUGGCACUGAAAGGCCCCCAGCUGGGGCUUGGCAGGACUAAGGGCCUGGAAAGGAAGGGAAGAGGUGAGGUGCUUCUCCCUCCAGUCCUGGUGCUGGCAUCAGUCUGGGGGCUGAUGGGACAAGGAGGUGACCUCUGAACUCAGCCUCUUGAAUCAGAAGGCUGUUCUCAAAUUGGGCUGACCGCAUUGCUAAAGAGCCAGCCCUGAGCACAGGUCAGAGGGAAGAUAGUACUCACCGCCCCGGGCCCCUUGCAGGCCUUAGCACCAAAAGUCUGGCACCAGCUGGCCAACCCCCAAAAUCUCAUACCCCCAUCCAUCCUGGCUGACUGGAAUGGGCAGUGAUGACAGCCAGGGACAGCCCCAAAGAGAACUGGGGCCCUGAUACAGGACAGAGAUUCAGGCCCCAGACUAGGCCCUGAAGCGGGAGUAUGGGAGGAAAAAGGGGCCUUAGGUUCCAGGCUGGGGCAUUGUGGGGAGGAGGACGGGCAAAAUGCAAGGCAUGAAAUGGGGAGGGUGUUCCUUCCAUCCUUCCUCUUGCAGAGGGACAAAUGGAGAGCCAAAGGACGGGGGCCCAUGGAAGAGAAGAAAGCAGCAAUUUGGCCAAUGUCCGGGGGUUCCAGGGGAGCAGGCCUCCUCCUUGGCAGAGGACAGCUGCAAGGCUCCAUGCCACCCCAUGACUGUCCCAGGCCAAGCCUAGGCUAGACCUGGCUGUCCUGCUGCCAUCCAGUGCUGGGCAGCGGUGCUGGGACUCAUCACCACAGCACGACAGAGUGCCCGGACUAUGACAUAAAGGAGCUCAGGGCCCCCUGAGGUGAAGCGAAGGGCCUAGCUCCUGCUAGAAGACAUAGAUCUUGUCCCGCUGCACAGUGUCCAGGUCGUCAUCCAGUGUCAGCAACACCUGGGGGGUGGACGCCAGAUCAGCCACAGAGAAGGAGGCAGCUGCUACCUUCACGCACCCACCCGGCUUGGCCGAGAGGCCCGCUUACCAGGAAGGACCCGAACAUGGCGAUGGAGGAGAGGAAGUGCCAGAUGUCGUGGUCGUCAAAGAAGUCGAGGAGGAUGCAGUCCCGGUUGUGCUCCCUUGACUCCGCAGGGGUUUUCUUGGGGAGCAACAAGAAAAACUGCCGAGUGACCCUGCUCUGCCAGGGCCAGACCCAUCUGCCAUCUUGCUCCUGGGCACCCCUCUCUCCAGCCCCAGGCAGGACAGCAGCAAUUCUGACCUGUCCCUUGUCCCCACCCCUUCCCGAUCUAAGAAAUGGCCUUUGGUUACAAACUUC